GUGGUGGAUGCGCGUCACCCCCCUGCUUAGUCGAAGACCCGGGGGCUUCCCAGCCGCCGCCGCGCCCCGCGUCCAGGACCUUGUGCUCUGGGCACCCGCCAGCGCCUCCCUGGCAGCUCUCAGCCCGCCAGGUGUCAUUCUGGGCGCUCACGCUCUGGAAACUCGACUGGAGCAGAGAAAGGGAGAGCGUGGGGGGAAAGCCUGGGGCAGCUUCUGAGACUUUCUCUGCGGGCGCGGGUCAGAAAGGCAGAGGGCGGCACAGUGACGGUACACGGAGUCUUGUUUUCUGUGUGCCCUUUCCCCCAGCGGAGGGACAGUGAAAUACUUUAGGGACACAGGACUCAGUGGCGUAGUUCUGCGCUUGCUGUGCGGUGCCUCCAAAAAGAGUUUCGCUGUUGUUACCCAGACUGGAGUGCAAUGGCACAAUCUCGGUUCACCGCAACCUCCGCCUCCUGGGUUCAAGCAAUUCUCCUGCCUCAGCCUCCCGAGUAGCUAGGACUACAGGCCAGUGAAUAUCAGGAAACACUUGGUGGGGAGGAAGCAAGGGCUGUGAUGGCCAAAGCAAGGUUGACAAAGACGUGGCUCGAGAGGUCAGUGACUGAAGCUAUCGGUCAAGGCAGAUCAAGAAGCCGGAACCACAGAUUGGAGCUUUGAGAGAAGCAAGAAAUAGACACUCAGCACUCCCAGGAAAAGAUACUUCACUUUGCGUGAAUCUGUGCAUUCACGCAGUCUAUGAGGAGGAACAAGGAAGUCAGCCUCGCUAACCUUUUUGCUCAGCUCUGAAUGGGACUUGUCACCUCUGGUUACGGAGACAUUAACCACCCUUCAGACACAAAGACCAAAAUGAAGUGAACUCACACCCGCAGUACUGCUAAGGAGAACUCAGGAAAGCAGGACUGCUGGAUGUAUUGGAGUCCCAUGGAACCACACUGCCCCCUGUGGUCGGAACCACCUGGGAUGCUGAACAGCGAGGACCGCAAACUUGGGUGCAGAGAGCUUUUCUCCAGGCAACCCAGGAAGCUGCGGGACUGGCAGACUUCUCUGUCAGGAUCCAUGGAAUCAGCACAUACAGGUGCCUCUAGGGCGCAAACCACAGAAGAGGGCUGCUGUGUGGCGUGCUGGCAGCCAAGCAAAAUGCCCCGAUCCAUCAGAGUGAUUCAUCUGGUAACUGGAUGUGACGUGCCCUCCCUGACAGAAGGCCCCUCACGGUGCUCCUGGCCGCUCUCCUCUCCGGCAUUGCUGGAUUGUUCACCUACUUAAACAAGUGCCUCUUCAGAGCCCCAGGUCUAUGUCAAUGAUUGCCCUCUCUGGACUGUGACCUCCUCCAGGAAGUAGGCUCGGGUCCCCAAGGUCCUAUACACAGCAGGAGCCGGGGCACUCCUAAGGCUGGUGAGAGGCAGCUGAAUGGGACCGAGCCUCAUGGUUUGUGGGAUGAAGAGAUGCCGACGUGACUCAGGUACGCUGAUGCUCCCUGGAGGGCUGGGAGGUGGGCUCAGAGGAAGGCCGAAUCCAAACCUCUUUUAUUGAAAAGAAAUAACUCUUCUCUGUAGCAUUUAAAAAAAAUCAAUCAGCUGAAGCUCUGCACACACUCAUCCGUAAUGACCAUAAACAUAACAUACCAAGCACAGGCUCACUCAGAAAGAUGGAGCAGUAGACUCAGGACAUUUUCAACAUGGGACUUGGGGACGCCUUCGGGAGAGAUACCUUCCCCAGCAGAGGUUACCUCUGGAGGCCAGCACUGUGCUGAGAUGGGACCGGAGCCACUACUAGCUAGCUGUCAAGAUCUUUGGCUUUCUGAACUCUGGGGACCACUGCCCUUUAGCCUGAGGUGAACGUCUCCAAAUUUCUAGCAGCCAGCCCCUUGGUCAACAGAUGGUACCUUUCCUCCAGGAAUCUGAGAAGGGAACAUACUGAUAGUCUGUGCUGGGGUCUUAAGGCCAGAAUCCCAGAGGCCUUUCCAGAGCCCCAAACCUCAGAGCUGAGAGAGAAGAUUCUGGGGACUACCUGCCAGGGAGGAAACCAAGGCUCCUCAGGGAGAGACCUGCGAGUUCCCCAGGAGCAGACCAUGGCUUGCUCACCACUUUUGCCCUGUGUCUGGUUCCUUCAUGAGGUUUUGGCCUUGGGAUCACUUCGGAGGUGGGGUUUACUCUCUUAGGCUAUGGUGAAUUUUGGUUAUAAUUUUUCGAUAAACUAGGAAGAGGCUUUAGUUGCCUGUAAAUGCAUUAAGCCAGAAAGCAAGCAGGUGAGACUCAGGAGCAGCUCAAAAGGUUUUCCCUGAUAAAAAAAUAUGCCGGUGAGGCUACAGGCAGCUCACUUCUUAAGGCCAUAGACUGCAGGCCGGGCAGCAAUGAGACUGUAGGGCCCGUCAGGAAUCCAGGUAUCUGCCUACAUAGGAGGCCAGGGCCAGAGCUGGCUGGACACUGGCAAAGUUUAAACAAGUGCUAUUCAUUCAACCAAUCAUGACCUUAGCAUCCCUAUCUAAAGACUUCUGAAAGGCAGAACCAAGUAAAAUCCAAAUUUCCAAAUCACUAGGCCAUUCUGAAAUCAAGUUCCGAUUCCCCUCCUGGCCAUCAGAAGCAGCGAUUUCCGGCUGAUAAAAGAUUAGCCCAAUCAUUCAAAGCUCAGUUCGUUGCCCACAAGUAGAGGAGUGUGGAGAGAGACCCAUAUCAACCCACCUGCUCCCCUUCACACAGAGAUACACUUCUGUGCUCCAGACCUGGGAUCAUGUUUACUGACACCACCCUCUACUUGGAUGCUCUGAAAGGUCACGCUCCCGGUUGAACUCAUGCCUGUGUUAUUUUCCUUUGAAGAACCAGAAGGACACUGCGGUAGUCCCUAUUAAAUAAUGUGCCAGGCUUUGUCCUUCAACCAUCUUAGGAAAUGAGAAGCCACCAGGCCAGCCACGAGGCCGUUCACACACACAUAAACAGGGUGGAUGAGGAAGGGGCAGAUGAGAAACCGGAACCACACCAGGUGAUAACUGAGAAGCAGACUCCCCAAAGCUCCCAGCACUGGACAGCUCCAGAAAGGAGAGUAUUUACAUAGCUGCUAUAGAAAUAAACUUUCUUCAGUGGCUGUUCAGAGUUGUAAAGGACAGGCCUUUCCAUUUGGUUUGUCUCCAGAGGUUUUUCUGAUAUCAAAUGCAGUAAAGGUUUGAAGCAACUCUGAGGCAGGGUGGAAGAACUCACCGCCUGCUCCUGCCUCAGUCCUGGGAUUCCGGGAUGUGACGGGGACAGGUGGAAGAGGGAGGGGUAGGCUGGGCCACAGGGGGGGUUCCCAGAGUCCUGUUACAGGAGGCCAUUAACACAUCGUGACCCUGAGCACUGGGGUCUGAAUCCUGAGUACCUCUGGAAGCACCUGUGUCCCUCCUCUCCGGGUCCAGCCAGGGUAGCUGUGAGGUGCUGAUCAGCCCUACUCAAAGAGGGCGAGCUGAGGGCGUGUCAGCUUUUCCCCAAGAAGCUCGGGCUCCAUCAGCUCCCCUCCUCUUCAGAACUGGUGUCCACACACUCAGUGCCCUACAGACUCACUCGCUUUUCCUUUUCAAAAUAAAUUCCAGUAUGUGCAGCACUUACAAAUAUCUUACGAAUAUGGGAAGCUGUCCAAAGUUUAAUUAUAUGUUUUUAAACCAUGACAUGGGCUAGGGUCGAAAGAUCAUCAAGCAAGGUGGAAGGGUGACAUCUUUGGAGGACCAAAGCAGCAAUGUCCCCCCUCGGUGGAACUCUGAAACUACAGCGUGGACGGAGUACGGAGGCAGACACUGACUGAAGGCCUCCUCUGAAGCAGGCCCAGAUGAAGGCAUGGGAACCAAACCUAGGCGACUCACAGCUUGCUCAGAGACCAACCUGCGCUGGUGAGUCCUGAGUGGUCUGGUGAGGGGCUGUCAAAGGACAGAGUGGGGGGUAAACUGCCCAAACUCUGGGAGUCAAGGAGGGCUUCCCAGAACAGGGGACUUUCAAUUUGAGUCACAAAGGACAAGUAGGGGUCUGCUAGAUUGGGCUGGUGGGGGAGCAGGGCCCCAGGGCAUGAGAACGGAAGGCACACGAAGAGAAUGGCAGCUCGGUGGGGCAGCAGUAGCGGAUGCAUGGACGCACGCAGUAGAGGAUGAGGCUGGAACAUGGAUAGAACUGGCUGAUGAAAGGCCUGGUGGGUCAUGCCAAGGAAGUGAGGUUUGUCUCCUUUGGUGAUACUUACCCGCUCCAACAGGAGUAUUUUCCCACCAGCAUCAGUGACCAUUACCUGUAGCCGCCUCAUGGCCUCUGAAUCCUGGUCGGCCUUCACCUUGCAGGCCACCAGCAGCUGAGCCGUGGAAGCGGCGACCUGCUUGGCAGAUGAGAUGAGCUUCUCCUCGCUGGCAUGUCCCUGAACGGAGGCAUUGGCCGCUUCACAGAGACUGCUGGUUGCAGCUGCCACCAUCCGGGCCUGGGGACAGUCAACAGAGAAGUGACCCAAAGCCCAAAUCUCCCUCAGGGGACCCAAAAAGCAAACUGGAAGGAGAAGGCAACUCACAGCAGAAAUCAGCCCCUGUGACCACUGUCCGUCGUCUGCAGCGUUGGCAGGGAUGGAGCCCACCUGGAGAGCAGGGAGGUGAAAUCGUCCGUGAGGGCAGGCAGCCCCAGUGGCCAGCAGCCCUUCCUCCCACACCUUGCACCUCCCUUGGUGCCUCCCGCCACCAGCACAGGCCUGAGAACGGAGCAACCUUUCUCACGUGGGACUCAGGCCAUGCCAAGACUGCACAGGCCAUCCUGGCAGGAUUCACCACCAAGAGGCAAUGGGAAAUGCUAAGACUGACCCCAUUUAGCUGUGGGGUACUGCGUUUCUAGGAAACGGCUCAGAAAUGAUGGCCUGUGGCUGUCUUUCUAGACUGACUCCCCCGCUGAGCUUUCUCCCGGAGCUACUACGGGCACCUCCCUCUGCUUCAAUUGAGAGCAGACCCUUGUCUUAAGGAAAUACAGACCAUUUUGUCAGGGGUGGAAGAGAGAUAAGAGGCUGGAAGAAACAUGGAUAUCUGUUUCUAUUUAGAAAUGAGGGCAACAAGUAGGACAUUUUCUGUCCAGAUCUAGAGGGAGAAGCAACAGGAGGAAAUUACCUUUACGCUUUGGGACGUGCCUUGUGAGGUCAGAGAGAGUAUCUCAAUUUGAAUGUGAAAUUGGGAUGUGUCAGCAAUGACAGGCACCAUAUCAGGGCUUGCCGAAUGUCCAGUAAAACUCCAAGGUCCUGCCUAUAAUCGCAUAGUUCACCCAAGUCCGGUUGAACCUCCUUCACCAACUUUUGAAAUGCCUGAACAUGUGAGCUCCCUGGAGGACAGAUAGGGCCUCUGCCACAGCCAAGUUAGACUCUCUAGUAAGCAGUAUGUCGGACACAUAGCCCUUUGUCAAUGUUGAAAUGACCAGGGUUUUUUAAGACCGGAUGUUCUGUUCAAUGACAUAUCUGUGGUCUUUACAUGUUGACCAGCCAGCAAGAACUUGCUGAGUACGGACGAGAUGGGCAAGGUCUGCAUUCUGCUGCCUCGACAGGGGCUCAACAGGAAGAAUGGGGAGAACGGCUUCUGUGCCAGGUGGGGAGAUGGACAUGGACCCAUAACAUACAACACAAUGGUUUAGAAGGAGACGUCAAGGUAUGUGGACUAGACUAAGACGUUGCUAAGCUCACAGGAGACUUCCUGGAACCUACGAUCAGGCACAACCUUCCUGUCUACACUGCGAGUUCUUGGGCCAAAACACAGCUCGCACCCACCUAACUGUAGGCUGCAAAGACCUUUUCAUAUCAAACAGAAGUGACUGAUAACCACGGCGACCAAAUUUCCCGAACCCACAACCUGUCGGGUUUCUGUGCGGCCUCUCCACUUGGGAGGCCCUGUGAAAGCCAAAGUGGAUAGGAAGGCUCCAUGUGUCUGGUUAUUUCCAGACACAUGGAACAUUUUAAAUCGGAAGACUGUUCCAUACCCAGCAUUACUAAUGUACUAAAAAUCCUCCAAAUCCCUGAAAAACACUAUACUUUCACGCUAAAGUAGACAGAAUGGGUGACUAGAGAUAAAGGUGAAGAAGUUUCAGAUUUAAAAUCCGACUGGUCCUUUCACGAGCAGACUUAGGGAAGUGCUAACUGCAAAGCUGGAUGGCAUUCAGCUCGACAGUCCUCUCGGAGCCCUUGGGAGCUGGCAAGUGGUAUCAUGAAGCUGCCCCCCAGGAAAAUAUCACAGUUUACAUCUUAACACCGCUUAAUGUACAGUGGGAAUAUAAAUGUCUCAUUCAGACCCCAAUCACUGCCUGGAAUGGGAAGCUUUCCUUAACAAGAAGCAGAUGAGAGGCCCAGAAGCCAAACCUCUUAUUCCGUUGGUCUGAAUUCUGUAGUUUUCAGUCGCUGAGCACAGAGAAUGGCAACUGAGGGAGGGAAGGUAACGCAUGUGUUUUUCUCGGACAGGACACAGGCUUGCAGCUCUUUUCCUGGGCCCUAAGAGGCUCUCCUUAUGUGAGUGUUCCACACAUGGUCAGCGGCUUUACCCACCUUUCCUUGGGCCACCAGCUCCCUCUGGGCUGCCGAGGCCGAUUUGACCAGGGCGCUUGUGGCAGCAGCAAUGGAUUUCGCAGCUUCCAAGAUCUGUUCCUCAAAGUCCAGGGUCUCAUCCGCUUGCUAUAACCAAAAGAAAACAGCAUCACAUGCAAUUCACAUCGACAAAGGGCUCUUUCUUCUAAUCUACUUACUGCCGGGUAACCUGGCUCUUCACCUGCCUAUUGUUUUUUGUUGACAAACCACACCUGAAAUGGGACAGUUCUUAACAAGCAGCAGAAGCGAGGUCCCCUGUCCCAACUUGCGCCACCCUCAGGUCACAAUGUUGAAGAUGUGGCUGGUACCUUUCAGGCAUUAAGAGUUAAUGGCCAGGCACAGCAACAUAUUUCUUUGUGAGACAAUACAUAUCACACACAUUUUAUCCUUUGACCUAAUUUUAAGAGUACUGUUUGGUGGCAUUAGUACUAAUACACUAACCCUGUUGUAGAACAGCAACACGAGGAUACAAAGGCCAGGAUGCCUCUCCACCUGCAGCCCCUCCCCGCACACCAGAAGGAAAAAGCCGUUAGCUUGACAUCCCACAGCAAUAUGAAAUCAGCAAAUUCAAAGACAGACUCAUUUUCUGAAACAGAAUCUUUAAAGAUAUACAUUCACUGUGAAUAAAGUAUACUCAAAUGGUUUUAGCAACAUCAGUGACCAACAUUGAAAUGAUACAUCAAAAUCAAAAAAGGAGAUCACGGCACUCACGCACUCACUCCCUUCGAGAGCCUAAGCCUCAAAAAUGAACCAAAAUAAAAGGAAAGAUGGCUAUCAGUUCUGCCAAAGUCUUCUUUUUCCUGGGUUAAAAACAAAGCAAAACAGCACUGGCAUUUCCUGAGCAACUGGCUGAGCAACAAGAGAGUUAGAGACCAACCGCAGAUUGCCCAGUGGUGAAAAGGAAACCAGGGCAACACAGCAUCAAGGCGCAGCUUGUUCUGCCCCCUGGACACCUGAGGCACAGCUCCACCUUGGGAAGAACGCUGGGCACCAUUGCGUAGGUGUUAUCAGACCAUUAGGGCUCUGGUCUAAAUUCACCACCAUCUCCUUUGCUGCUAAAACAACUCAGGAAGUUGAAGAGAAGCUUUGGGGAAGUGGGACAAGUAUCUGUGGUCCCAUGCUGCACGGGUUGGAGCAUCACCGUUUUGUGGGAGGUGGUCAGAUUAGACCUCCAAGGUCCCCUGCACAAUAACAUUCCAUGACUCAGUCAAUCUAGUUAAGUUGCCCUCAGGUCACACAGUGUUGACGAUGUGGCUGGUACCUUUCAGGCAUUGAGACAUGAUGGCCAGGCCUGGCAAUACUUUUGUCUGUUUGGUAAAAUAUAUGUAACACAAAACUUACCCUUUUAUUCAAUUUCAAGUGUACAAUUCAGUGGCAUUACAGAUAUACCAAGUAUUGUGUUAGGCACUUCUACAUACACUGACUUAAUUCUCCUCAAAAAAGAAAAAUGAUCCUAUAUUGGAAUUAUUUUUAUCCUUAUUAUUAUUUUUUUGAGAUGGACUUUCACUCUUGUUGCCCAGGCUUACAGUGCAAUGGUGCGAUCUCAGCUCACCACAACCUCCACCUCCCGGGUUCAAGCGAUUCUCCUGCCUCAGCCUCCUGAGUAGCUGGGAUUACAGGGACGCGCCACCAUACCCAGCUAAUUUUUUGUAUUUUUAGUAGAGACGGGGUUUCACCCUGUUGACCAGGAUGGUCUCGAUCUCUUGACCUCGUGAUCCACCCGCCUUGGCCUCCCAAAGUGAAGAUCCUCUUUAGCUGAGAUGUUACUGACCUGACCAGGGAUAAACUGACGGUCUUCAGCCAUAAGAAAGAAUGAGAUCCUGCCAUUUGUCAGCACAUGGAUGGAACUGCAGGUCAUUACGGUGAGUGAAAUCAGCCAGGCACAGAAAGACAAACGUCGCAUAUUCCCACUUAUUUGUGGGAUCUAAAAAUCAAAACAAUUGAACUCAUGGAAAUAGAAGAAGGAUGGUUCCCAGAGGCUGGGGAGGGCAGUGAGGGGUUGAGGGGAAGGGGAGGUGGGGAGGGUUCAUGGGUACAAAAGACUAGAAUGAGUAAGACCUACUAUUUGACAGCAAAACAGGGUGAGUAUGGUCGAAAACUUAAUUGUACAUUGAAAAAUAACUAGAAUACCGUAAUUGGCUUGUUUGUAACACGAAGGGUAAAUGCUUGAGGGGAUGGAUACUCCCGUCUCCAUGAUGUGAUUACAUCACAUUGCAUGCCUGAUACAGUCUGGCUGUGUCCCCACAUCAAUCUCAUCUUGAAUUGUAGCUCCCACAAUCCCCACCAGUCAUGGGAGGGCCCUGGUGGGAAGUAACUGAAUCAUGGGGGCAGAUCUUUCCUGUGCUGUUCUCAUGAGAGUGAAUAAAUCUCAUGAGAUCUGUUGGGAGUUCCCCUACACAAGCCCUUUCGCCUGCUGCCAUGUAAGACAUAUCUUGCUUCCCCUCACUCUGCGCCAUGAUUGUGAGGCCUCCCUGCCAUGUGGCACCGUGAGUCAAUUAAACCUUUCCUUUGUGUAUCACCCAGUCCUGCAGCGUGAGAACAAGCUAAUACAAUGCCUGUAUUGAAACAUCUCAUGUACUCAUGUAUCCCAUAAAUAUAUAUACCUACUAUGUAACUUCAAAAACUAAACAUAAAAAAACUUGUAAAAGAAAAAUAAAUGGAUAGCCCUUGCCGCAGAAUCACCUGGGGAUCUGGUUAAAGAUGCAGAUGCUGUUUUGGUAGGUCUGGGGUUAGAGCCAGAAAUCUGUAUUUCUUACAGACGUGGUUACAUGCUACUCUGGACUCAGGAAAACAAACACGUACCUGUUAACUUAAUCCUACCAGCCUGUGAUGCUCUCCAAGGCAAGACUGUGUCUCUCUAGCACAAACUUGGGCAAGAGGAGCCCACAUGAUGAUCAACAUUUGCUGACUGAAUAUAUCCAUUCGAAAUGAGUUUCCCAAGUUUGGCCACCGCACAAAGUGGGAGAGAGAGAGAUGCAGAGUAAGCAUCCAUAUCAUCAACAUCCACUCCUGACCCACGGUGGACAGGUGCACACACAGCUAUGCCCAGGUUCCUGCUCUGUUUAAGGCCGUGGGUUGUCAACUGUACACUCUACUUGUAUCCCUCAUCUAGCAUUCACAGUUUGAGACAUUUAGUCAUGCAUGGACAUACAAAUGUAAACACGGCGGCAUUUUACCAAGAGGCGCUCUUAAUAACACAGCAACGGGGGAAUGAGUGAGCAGAUGUACAAACUAACCAUCUACUCUGCCUAAUGAAGGUGGCUGCUGCUACCUCUGCGUGCUGAACCUAACUUCUUUGAUACAAUAUUCUUUUCCCCCUUUCCCUCCACUUCAAAAGGCUAUUGGCCAGGUGCCCAGCAGCUUUUAGCGAUCGUUUUUCUUGGGCUUUCUAGCCUACUCAUGUUGAUGAUAGAUUUAUCCUCACCUGGGUUUUUUGGUAGCUUCUAGAAAAGUCUGAGCACCCUGUAGUUGACCCCUUCCCUGCAUGCUGACAUUCCUGCUCACCCUUUAAAAAGUCAGUGGCCUAGUGAGAUUUCUCUGGGGAAAGGGAUCAUAUUGGAUUGGCUCCCUUCCCGUUUCUCACUUGGGAGAGUAUUCGAGACUCCUGUAUGUAUGCUCUGAUGGGUUUAAAGUUUCAGGAGCUAUAUUUCCCCUGGAAGAGGAAAUGGUGGGGUUGGGGGAAGUGGUGUGGAAAGGGGAGAAGGAAAAGGGGCGACCUUUCCUUAUUUUCAUUUUGGUAUUUGGCCUUUCCCGGGUUCUGAGAACAUGGUCUUUGCACUAAUUCAUUCCUUCGAAGCCUAUUUCCCCUCCUAACCUGUCUGAUGGGGUCUUUACAAGUACAUGGUCAGUAUAUGUAAAGCAUGGCUGACUCACAGGAGAUACUCAAAAACUAUGAACAAUUAAUUAAAAACUGUGAGCACAGCUGGGUACCAGCUUCUCUUUCAGCACCGACCAGGAGUGAGUGGGACAAUCUGGGCUGUAGUUGCUUCUCUGUGAUUUGACCAUGUGACUGUGGGGUCUUCACUGCCCUUCUCCAGAUAUCAGUUAGACUAGACGUGGACAGUUCCAAAUUAAACUUCCCUUCGAAGGCGGUGACUACAAUGAGCAGGAACUACCACUUCUCUUCUGACCUCUCCUGGCCUCAAUAUCGUUACCAACACCCCACCCGACAUCCUUACCCGCUUCCCCUGCCCACUGUCCCUGUUGGGUCCUGGGCAAGUGUUGGGCAAGGGAGAGAAUGUCCUCCCAUUGUCUCUUUCUUGGCCUUUUCUUUACACCCUGCAAUCCCCCAGCUGCUUCCCCCAAUGAACUUGAAAGUGAAGGAGCAUAAGGCACCCAUAGGAGAUGGCUAAAGGGCUUGCCUCCAUCCCUGAAAACUCCCUUUGAGGGAAUGCCUUAUUGAGAGCUAAAAACAAAACACAAUGGCUACCCUUCCCACAGCUGGCUCCACAAACUCAAGAACCACCCCUGCUAUCACCUCUCCAGUGGGGGCUCAUGCUUUGCUCGCUGUUACUCAGUCUUGCAGAAUGCUUGCUACUAAAAAUCAGGUCAGAGCGCAUCAGAAACUUUUUUUAAAAUCCUCUUGGAUAUAUAUAUGUUUUAAGUGUGAACAUUUUGCAUUUAAUUUAAAUGUCCCCGAGGGAAAGGAGGAGGCCAAUGCCUAGAACUCCCGCAACAGGAGUGGGUUCCUGCCAGUUGGAAGUCGGAGUGGAGCAGGCUGCCACAUUUCUCUUUUUUCUUGUUGCAAAUUUGGCUGCCACUAGUUUGCUUCUGGUAUUGAACCGAGAGGUGCCUUGAGGGAGGCCUUAGCCUGAAUCCAAAGACCCAAACUCUACAAAUGUUAGAUCAGUUUCUCUUCGGGAGGACCCAUGGAUGGGGUGGCUUCAGGACUGCCACCUGUACUAGUUCUAACUAAAGGUAAACCUCCCAGAACAACUGGAACUGCCAAGAGCCAGACACAGACAGCUGGCCUUGUCUCAGGGAAAGCUCUGGAGACACCUUAAACAGGCGACAUGAGUGACUGGGAAAGAAACUGCCAAAUGGCUGUGCCUGUGACCAGGGAAGGACCGCACCCUCUGCAUCCGCAGAAUGAAUGCCAGUUCACGCAGCGUCCAUUGGAAAAGGUCACGCUUGCAUGAUUAGUAUCUUGGGAGUAGUUUUCCCAUAGUAUCCAUUGCUGUAUUUUUGUUUUCAAAAGGAAAAGCAAGGCCACUGAAAUAAUCUUUUAAUUACUAGUUCUGUUUGAUUAAAAAAAUUGAAGAUUUUGUCAUGCUCUCCGUAAAAAAGGAAAAGGGGCCCUUGAAUGUCUAUAUAGAAAGCACAGACAAAAGAUAACAGAGUUCUUCCCAAGAUUUAUCAGAUACACUCCCUACAUCUUAAGUUCCCUUUAUAUGUCUAUGAUGGGUCUGAAACGGGCCUACUGGUCUAUCCUCGAGGGGCAUCUCCUGGGUACGUGUACUGGUGAGGUCUCUCAUACUUGCUUUUCUUAUUUAUUUAUGUUUUUAAGACAGUCUCACUCUGUCACCCAGGCUGGAGUGGAGUGGUGCGAUCUCAGCUUACAGCAACCUUUGCCUCCCAGGUUCAAGUGAUCCUCCUGCCUCAGCCUCCCAAGUACCUGGGGCUACAGAUGCGUGCCACCACGCCGGAUACUUUUUUUUUUUUUUUGAAUUUUUAGUAGAGAUGGGGUUUCACCAGGUUGGUCAGGCUAGUCUUGAACUCUUGACCUCAAAUGAUCCGCCUACCUCAGCCUCCCAAAGUGCUGGGAUUACAGGCGUGAGCCACCACACCCAGCCCCAAACUUGCUUUUCACACUCUGUAUGCUCCUGGUCUGGAACCAACAGGUGUCACUCAAAGCCCACGUGCAGUCACAUAAAAGAUGCUGUAUUUGUCCUCCCUGAACAAUUGGUUCCUUUUUGCUUCACCAUAUUAAUCAACACAGAAGACAUGCGGUCAGUGACAAAGUCACCCAAAGAAACAAAAAAAAAAUCACAUCAAUUCAAACCAAUGGGCUUCGUCUGCAGGUCCUUCUGGAACCAUGUUUUUCUUUGUUCAUGAUAACUUGC